GUAAAGAUGUAUAAAGAGAGACUGUUUGAACUGCUCAGUACGGCAGUUGGCGGAGCGCAGACUCCCCUGCCGUCCAGCGCUGUAUUUGCUCAUAUUCUACUUGCUACAAUUAAUAAAAUUCUAAUUGGAUUAUGAUCCAUUGUGGUCUCAAUUUAUGACAAUUUGGUGCCGUGACUCGGAUAAGGAACGGUGAGCUUCUGUCCUCCGGGGAGGCGCCCCGCGGCAAUCCGCGGCCCCGCGACCGACAGCUUACCUCAACCUUACCGACGAACCUAAAUUCUAGAAUGAUGAGCAAAGGAGAAACCGGUAAAAUCCCAUAAAAAUUCUGUGCACGGGAGUCCGGACGAAGACGCAGGGCGCCAGAACAUCGUAACAAGCUUUGGGAACAUGGACUAAUUGUGCAACGACCCCCAUUGGACUUAAAAAUUCACAAUUUUAAACCUGGGGACUGGAUAUUGGUUAAAACGUGGAAAGAAGAAACCCUAAAACCCAAUUGGGAGGGACCUUAUCUUGUUUUGCUUACAACAGAAACAGCUGUCCGGACUGCUGAGCGUGGAUGGACUCAUGCUAGUCGCAUUAAAGGCCCAGUGACGAGACCCCACUGGAAAGUAAUCAGUACUCCAGGUGACACCAAGAUAACUCUGAAAAGAUAACGUAAUGAUAAGAACUUUAGUUGAUUAUUUUGCCGCAUUACCUUUUGGUAUAAAGUGUAUAUUGCUGUUUA